rnacentral:rRNA from 1 species
GAUUAACACUGGCGGCGUGCCUAACACAUGCAAGUCGAGCGGCAGCGAGUUUUACACUGAAUUCUGGAAGCUUCUAGUUGAAAGAGAAGAUUUAUUCAAGAAUUUUGUGUAAAAUGUCGGCGAGCGGCGGACGGCUGAGUAACGCGUGGGAACGUACCCCAAAGUGAGGGAUAACGCAUCGAAAGGUGUGCUAAUACCGCAUAUGGUCUUCGGAUUAAAGCCUUCGGGCGCUUUGGGAACGGCCUGCGUAAGAUUAGAUAGUUGGUGGGGUAAUGGCCUACCAAGUCGACGAUCUUUAACUGGUUUGAGAGGAUGAUCAGUCAGACUGGAACUGAGACACGGUCCAGACUCCUACGGGAGGCAGCAGUGAGGAAUCUUCCACAAUGGGCGAAAGCCUGAUGGAGCAACGCCGCGUGCAGGAUGAAGGCCUUCGGGUUGUAAACUGCUUUUAUAAGUGAGGAUUAUGACAGUAACUUAUGAAUAAGGAUCGGCUAACUACGUG